CCCUAUGGGGUGCCGCGCGGCCUGAUCGGCGAGGUGAUCGCCCGCCUGGAGCGGCGCGGGCUGGUCCUGGCAGGGGCGAAAUUCAUGCAGGUCAGCCGGGAGCUGGCCGAGGAGCAUUACGCGAUCCACAAGGGGAAACCCUUCUACGAAGGGCUGAUCGCCUACAUCACCUCCGCCCCCGUGAUGGCGAUGGUCUGGGAGGGGCCGAAAGCCGUGGCCGCCAUCCGGCAAACGAUGGGCGCGACCCGGCCCACGGAGGCGGCGCCCGGGACGGGCCGCCACG
rnacentral:rRNA from 1 species